UUGCAGUGAUGUCUUGAAUUUCUUCACCUGAACUUUCUGUGUAGAACCCAUCUUUUUAAAACUGAGCAUG